UUUUAAUUAUUAUGAUUUAGCUUGUAGCUACCCACUUCAAAUGCACUAAAAUUUGCACUAAAUAAAGUGGUCCUCUUUCACUUCAUGCUAGCUCACAAGAUCCAAUGUAGAUAGAUCCCUCUCUGCUCUUUUUCCCCUAAAUAAAUAGUAGGAUGCUAUUUUAUGCCAUUUAUUAUAUCUUAAAGCACGGGUGGGUUUUUACUUUUUCUAUGUGAAUUUUCCUUUUCCCCACUUAAAUAGUACUAGAGACUCAACCAUUCAAAACAAUGCCUUUAUUGUAUAUCAAAUAUAAUCAUAGUCACCUAAAUGUCAUCAAAUUAGGUGGUCAUUAAAAUAAAUUUUUAAAUAGGUUAAUAACAAAUUAUAUUAUAUUUUUAAAAAUAUCAAACUUAUGUUUAUACACAAAUCUAUGAUAAGAUAAUGUGUUAGAUUUAUAUUUUAAUUUUUUUAAUAAAUUUAAUUUUGAUUUUGCAAAUAUUCCUAUCUCUAUAUGUGGUUCACAACUUUGACCACUUUUUGAAUCACAACACAAGAUCUUCCAAAUUGGUUGGCACAUGAAUGGAACCUUAAUUUGAAAAAGGAAAAUAAAAGAUAAAAAAAGUAAAACAAUAGUAAACAAUUGUUGAUGAUCAGUGUCAAUUGAUGUUUCUCCAAACUUCAAAGCAAAAUUUACAUUAUUUCUAGAAAAAAGUGUUUUUGGAAACUAUGAGGAAAAUUUGAAUAUUUUAUUAGCCAAUUGAAAAAAAUUAAUAAUAUGAGUAGUGUUCUUUCCACGUUAAUGAUGAAAUGGACAUUCAAAAUAAAGUACAUCAAUAAUCUAGACACACUUUGACAUUUAGUGGCAUGUCUAUGUAUAUGUUUUCAAUUCCACAUGUAACAAGCAACUGCAACCAAACUUUGUCUUUGCAAUUAGGUUUUGGAGCUGUCACUAUAAACGACAAGAUUACUUUAGCUACCAAAGACAUCUCACACCCAUAUUCACAUUUCAAGCCCACACUUUGAUGCAUUUAUAGAAAUUUUCUAUGGUAAUUUAAUAAUUGUACUUAUCUUUAGAUUUCAAUGAGGACAAUGUAGGCUUGCAUUGGAGUAAUCAACACAAUAACGUAUAUAUGUAGCAUCCAUGAGAUAGCACAAUAAUAAUAAUAAUAAUAAAAUCUUGUGUUUUUUUUUAAGGGUCAUUAUCUAUAGUGUAGUACUAUGUAUUUAGAUGUGUACUUUCUCUUAAGCACAUGAACUUUUUUAUGCUUGCUUUUUUAUAAUAAAAAACAUUAGAGUUCUUUCAUUGAUCGUG
rnacentral:lncRNA from 1 species